CGGAGUAUAGCUCAGCCUGGUAGAGCACUGUCUUCGGGAGGCAGGGGUCGUAGGUUCGAAUCCUGCUACUCCGA
rnacentral:tRNA from 1 species